UAUGAGCUAAGAUUUUGAACACUAUCAACAUCAAUGGAGGGUUCCCUCUUCCCCUCAAGACCUGUAUAUCCCACCCCUUCAAAUAAACCAACCCAACCAAACUUCCCGCCAUGGAAGCUCAAUCCAACAACAGCCCAACCUCCACCUCCACCACCUCCUCCUACUCAAUCCCCAUCUCCAUCCUCAUUCCCCAUUGAUUCUCUCCUCCAACACCUUCUACACCUUUCUUCGUCUCCAAAAACUCCUCACACUGUUAAACCUGUGAAGCCACAUCAUUUCAGCAAUGCCCAUUUGCGUUCUCUUAAACUUUCGGUUGAUUCUACUCAGAAACAGCUUGAAAAUGGCGGUUACGAAAAACCCACAUCGGUUUUAGUCUCUCAGCUGGAGGAGGACGAAGAAGAAGGUCGUUUGGAAACUGGGUUCCUUGAGUUUCUCACAACAAAGGGUCACCGUUAGAGCCUCUUCCUCUUUGUACCAAGUUCCCCUUUUCUCUAUCAAUGGAGGAGCCUCUUCUAUUCUGAGAAAUACCUCAAACCCACCAGCUGUUUCACUCAUUCUCAGAUUAUCGGGUAAGAUGGAGGGUCAUCGUGGUACCAGUGAAGAUUGUACUAUCAUUGAGGUUGAUGACAAAGUAUCAAAGUCAGAUAUAGAUAAGGAGUUUUUAAAAGAACUUCAAGAGGGAGAACCUGUAACUAAACCCAGCUCCUCUGGUGAGAGGGAUAAUGACAUUAAGAUAGGUUGGCUUCCACAAAUUUUGCAGAAAGAUUAUCGAAAUUAUGUAGAUCAGUACUGUUACCCAAAGGAGUUGCCAAUCGGUCCUGUUUAUUAUGAGCAUAAGAAUGAAACCCAGUCUGGUGACCAGCGCCCAAAGGACACAUAUGAAUCAUGUGUAGAAAAGUUCCACGCAACGAGGGACCUGAAGGUUAAAUUGGCAAGAAGCAUAUCAAGGAAAUGAGAACUUCGAUACAUGAUUGUACAAUUGAUGAUGAUGUACUGGCCAGGUUUCUUUUCUUAGAUGGGUGUGCUAUAGUACAGUUCAUACGAAGCUAUUAUCAAAAUGAACUAGAAGAGUUUGGAAUUGAUAAUAAGCAAGCAAUAUCGAUCCAGGAGGACUUGUUCCUUCUUCAAAACCAAAUCCCAUUCCGAGUCAUUGUGCUGUUGCUGCACUGUAUGCCGACGGAAACAUCUUCGAAACUGAAAGAGGAUAUUGUCUAUUUCCUUCACAUCAACAAUAUCAUGAAGAAGGACUCACUAACCUCCAGGUACAUCAGAAAACAAUCUGACAUAAUUUUUGAUAAAGAAAAUAAAAAUCUUCACCUUCUUCAUCAUCUCCACUCGUUAAUCAAAUCAACGGGCAAAAUGGUACAUGGGCACAAGACUCAAUAUCCUUUACAGAAGCAAUCUGACAUAAUUUUUGAAUGUUUUUGCAUAUGCUCAUCAUGCUCACACCCACGCCCAAUACCAGUUCCUUUUUUUUAUACAAAGAGGAACUUUUGCAGUGCACAGGAGCUUAAAUCAGCUGGGAUAGAGUUUAAGCCAAGUGGUGCUGAUAUAGCUUAUAGUAGUAAAUGUUUUAACUUCAAAGGGCAUCUUAAACUUCCUCCACUGUGGAUGAAUGGACGAAACCUAAGCUGAUGAAUCUUGUUGCCUACGAGAUGUGUCUUGGUGAUGUUGGUUCUUAUAUCGUUACUUCAUAUGUAAAACUUAUGGAUUUUCUCAUUGAUAAAGAAGAAGAUGUUAAGGAGCUAAGGGCGUCAAGAGUACUUUGGAACCAUCUCAGCUGUGAUAAAGAUGUGGUCGAUCUGUUCAAUGAAAUGGGGUCUGAAUGCUUUAAGCCACCCAAGGACUAUUAUUUUGAUGUCAUGGAAGAACUGGAAAAUCAUUGCCAGAGAAAGUGUGCGAUUUGGAUGGCCCAAGUCUAUCAGACCCAUUUCAGAAGCCCCUGGACUAUGGUUGCUCUUUCGGCUGCUAUAAUAGCUCUUUUGUUGACUGCCAUUCAAACAUGGUACGCAAUCAACCCAAAUAAGUAGUUCAAAAACUAAACGUAAUGGACUCUAAAUUUUCGUUUUAUGGUUAUAAAUGGGUGUGGCUUUUGCCUGAAUUUUGUUGUGUGCAUAUAUGAAGUUCCACAUAUAUAUAUGCUGUGUUGGAGAAGCUUAAUAAUAAGCCAGCUACUAUGCAUGAUUGUCGGUUA